rnacentral:rRNA from 1 species
CCGCCCAUUAAAGGGGAACGUGAGAUGGGUUCAGACCGUCGUGAGACAGAGGGGGUGGCCAGGUGUCGAAAGUAAUAUUUACCCUCAAAUUAUGGAAAAUAUGGAGUGACCCAUGUUAUUAACCUGGCCCUCCCUCCUCAAGAGGUCGGUCUCUACCUGUCGGGGGUGCUGGCCGCCUGCGGGGAAGGUGCCCUCAGUACGAGAGGAACGGGGCGCCGCGGCCUCUAGUCUACCGGUUGUCCGGCAGGGCAGUGCCGGGCAGCCACGCCGCUUGGGGUAACCGCUGAAGGCAUCUAAGCGGGAAGCCCUCCCCUAAAAUAGGCGGCCGCCGCUCCUGGCCGGGGUUACCCGGCUGGGGGUGGUUAGGGCUCCCGUAGAAGACGGGGUUGAUGGGGUGGGGGUGUAUCCCCCGAGGGUUUCCCCGAGGGGGGAGCCUGCCACUCCCAAUCGCCCGAAGGUGCGGGUGG